rnacentral:lncRNA from 1 species
CGGGUUCAUGCCAUCCUCCUGCCUCAGCCUUCCUAGUAGCUGGGACUACAGGCGCCCGCCACUGCGCCCGGCUAAUUUUUUUUAACGUGUUUCGAAUGAAACAAAGCUGUCUUUUAUUUUGUCAUUGGAAAGGGAAGCUGUAAGGAAACAACUGCCCUUCCUCCAUUUCUCUAUUUCAGGGUUUCCCAACUGUGGCACUACUGACAUUUUGGCUAGGAUGGGUAAUUCUUUCUCGUUGGGGAAUGUCCUGUGCAUUAUAGGGCAUUUAGCAGCACCCUAGACUCUAUCCACUAGAUGCCACCAGCAUAUUCCAGUUGUGACUAUCAAAAAUGUCUACAGAUACUGCCAAAUAUCCUCUGGGAGAUAAAUCACCGCCCCGUUGAGAAUCUCUGCUGUAUGUUAAUACAUCUUUUGUAUUAACAGGGUCAUUGUGUUUGUAAACCUGUCAAAGCUGAGGUCUGCGUUGUUCAGUGCCUGAGUGGGUAGAGUUCAAAGAAGCAAAGUCCUGAUAGUAAUUCUACUGUUAAAAAAUGAGAUACAAGUAUAUAAUCUAGAGCAGUUCUUCUUCUUCUUCUUCCUCUUCCUCUUCCUCCUCCUCC